CGGUGAAUAGCGCAGUUUGGUAGCGCAUCUCUGCUCUUCGGUAAACAGCGGACCAGAGGGUCGGGGGUUCCUGAUCGAUCUAGAAGCAAUAGCCUCUUCACCGACCA
rnacentral:tRNA from 1 species